GUUGCGGCGCGAUGGGCUGCCGGCGGCGCGCUCCCGGGCGCCGUCUUCAUCCGAGUCCAUCGACGGUCCCAGGCUGAGCUGGACGGACGCUGAGGCCGCUCCGAGCCUGCGCGUGUGUCCGGCCUGCAGUCCGCAGUGCGCGCUGGCCUGUCGAAGAAGGUGGAAGGAAGACCGUUUGUGCAGUGACGCGGCGACACUGAGAACCCCGGGGUCUGACCUUGUCAGCCUGCUCCUCCGACCGCGACUCUGCUCGGGCACAGCUGGCAGAGGCUUCUGCUCCCGCUGUGUGUUCCCUCCGGGCUGGGCUCCCGGGGCAGAAGCUGGACCUGGAUCCUGCUGAGUGCCAGCAGCUGCUCCUGGAGUGUUCCAAGGGUGGUGCAAGUGCAGAGGUUGAGGCUUCCAGUGGACUCAUCUCUUCUGCCCAAGUGCACUGAACACACCAGCCUCUGCAGAGCAGCCAUCGGACGCACGUACUUGUCUGUGGACUAGACGUGCAGAGGUGGGGCCCGCUGUGCCACACGCUCAGGGAGGCUGCUGCAGGGCCCAGCCAGGGCCUUUGCUCUCGUGUCUCUGGUCCGGUCCCAGACCUCCCUGCACCCUUCUGCACGUGGCUGCCUUCUGGCCACCCUGUGUCGCCCUGUGGGGAUUGGAGCCUCUCUGCAGGAGUCGGGAGUUUCUGGUUCUUCGCUAGGUGUCGGUGGCUGAGGGCCUGCUAUCUGACUGACAUUCUCUGACCCCAGGAUUGACCCUCUGUCUUCCAUCUGCUUCCAGAACAAGGACCCCAGCCCCUCUAACAUUUCCUGAAUGAGAACAAGGGACAUUUAAUAAACAGAUUUUCAAUGUGUGGUUUGGUCCAGCCUGUUUCUCUCCUACGUAUGCCCGGCACCAAGCAGAGAAAGACCCUGCCCUUCUUGAAGGGGUUUGAGCCAGUUGAAGUGCUGCCCAUCCCCUCAGGCCUUUGUAAACUAUGGGUGUGUUCGGGGAGACCUGAUCUGGGGGGGUUGCCU